ACGCUGGCGGAGGCUUAACACAUGCAAGUCGAGCGCCCCGCAAGGGGAGCGGCAGACGGGUGAGUAACGCGUGGGAACGUACCCUUUACUACGGAAUAACCGCAGGGAAACUUGUGCUAAUACCGUAUGUGCCCUUUGGGGGAAAGAUUUAUCGGUAAAGGAUCGGCCCGCGUUGGAUUAGCUAGUUGGUGGGGUAAAGGCCUACCAAGGCGACGAUCCAUAGCUGGUCUGAGAGGAUGAUCAGCCACAUUGGGACUGAGACACGGCCCAAACUCCUACGGGAGGCAGCAGUGGGGAAUAUUGGACAAUGGGCGCAAGCCUGAUCCAGCCAUGCCGCGUGAGUGAUGAAGGCCCUAGGGUUGUAAAGCUCUUUCACCGGAGAAGAUAAUGACGGUAUCCGGAGAAGAAGCCCCGGCUAACUUCGUGCCAGCAGCCGCGGUAAUACGAAGGGGGCUAGCGUUGUUCGGAAUUACUGGGCGUAAAGCGCACGUAGGCGGAUCGAUCAGUCAGGGGUGAAAUCCCAGGGCUCAACCCUGGAACUGCCUUUGAUACUGUCGAUCUGGAGUAUGGAAGAGGUGAGUGGAAUUCCGAGUGUAGAGGUGAAAUUCGUAGAUNUUCGGAGGAACACCAGUGGCGAAGGCGGCUCACUGGUCCAUUACUGACGCUGAGGUGCGAAAGCGUGGGGAGCAAACAGGAUUAGAUNCCCUGGUAGUCCACGCCG
rnacentral:rRNA from 1 species